rnacentral:rRNA from 1 species
ACGCUCGACACCUACGGGAAGCAGCAGUGGGGGAUAUUGCACAAUGGGGGAAACCCUGAUGCAGCAACGCCGCGUGAGGGAAGACGGUUUUCGGAUUGUAAACCUCUGUCCUUGGUGACGAUAAUGACGGUAGCCAAGAAGGAAGCCACGGCUAACUACGUGUCAGCAGCCGCGGUAAUCUGAGCGGGCUGGCAAGGC